CAUCCAUGCUGACAAAACCAAGGAACCGGAAGCAAGGAGGAGGACCCACUGAUGACCCUGCUUGCUGGGCUUCCCAUUACUGCUUCCCGAGGACCUUCUGCAACUGAACCAGAUGGAUUCUGCAACUGGAUGUAACAUGCUUGACAUAGAAGAGAGUCUUACAUGUUGACUUUAAGAGGAUGAAGCUUCUCCACAAAUGAAUGCCGAGGAACCAGAAGCUGGGAGGUCCGACAGAUGACCGACCCUCCUUGCUUAGUAAGACAUUACUAAUUCUUGAGGUGCAAGAAAGAGACCAAGAACAUGAGGACCACCAAGCUUGGAUGAGACUGGACAAUGACGAAGCUGAUCUCUUAUGGACAAGGAUGGUCUCAUCAGAAACCAAGAACCGGAAGAAAGAAGGAAGGAAGACCAACAGAUGAACUGAUGACCCUGUUUUCUGCGCUUGCCUUUACCAAUUCCUUAAGUUAGUUUUACUCAAGGAACAAGGAAGAAUAAAAAGUAAAAUUUAGAGGAAGUCUCAUUUACAGUGAACAUUUUGCGUGUUGGCGGUAGUGCUAAAGCCCCAUGCCAAUUUGCCAAUGAAACAAAAACACUGUUGCCAUUUAACUUGAUAGGGCAUUUCUUUUCUUCAAAGAUAACUAAUUUAAGUAAAUACAAGAGUUUUAAACACUUCCCAAAAAAUUAGGAUGUUUGAGAAAUUUACAAAUUUAAGAUGUCCAUGUAACUAAAAUGGGUUAUUUUCUUUACAAUUUUAAAUCGAUUAGAAAAACUCAAGAAUUUUAUACAUUUUGAAAAUUAAAGAAUCACUGGGAAUUGUUAAGGAAUUUCUAUGUACCAAUAUGUUGGAAAAUUUAAGGACUGUUGAAGACCUCUCCCCCUCACUUUUAUUUCACCUACCUUAAAAAGUUUAAAUGGUUCUUCUUUUUUCCCCUCGGAAAACUCCUUAAUGCAUUGCAACAGGUUACUGGCACUCAGAUUACAUUGUGUAUAUCCUUUUGUAUUGUCUGUUUAAUUGCACGUUUUCACUACUAACUUAUUUUAUUUUGUUUUGUUCACUUGGUGUAUUUUGGUGGCUUUGCAUGUCUUUU